rnacentral:rRNA from 1 species
UACGAAGGGGACUAGCGUUGUUCGGAUUUACUGGGCGUAAAGAGCUCGUAGGCGGCUUGUCACGUCGGGUGUGAAAGCCCGGGGCUUAACCCCGGGUCCGCAUUCGAUACGGGCAGGCUAGAGUGUGGUAGGGGAGAUCGGAAUUCCUGGUGUAGCGGUGAAAUGCGCAGAUAUCAGGAAGAACACCCGUGGCGAAGGCGGCUCUCUGGGACGUGACUGACGCUGAGACGCGAAAGCGUGGGGAGCAAACAGG